CAUCUCUUCACGAGGAUCAAUUGGAGGGCAAGUCUGGUGCCAGCAGCCGCGGUAAUUCCAGCUCCAAUAGCGUAUACUAAAGUUGUUGCAGUUAAAACGCUCGUAGUCGGAUUUCGGGGCGGGCCCGCCGGUCUGCCGAUGGGUAUGCACUGGCGGGCGCGUCCUUCCUCCCGGAGACGGCUGCUACUCUUAACUGAGCGGUGGCCGGAGACGGGAUAUUUACUUUGAAAAAAUCAGAGUGUUUCAAGCGGGCAGUCGCUCUUGCAUGGAUUAGCAUGGGAUAAUGAAAUAGGACUCUGGUGCUAUUUUGUUGGUUUCGAGCACCGGACUAAUGAUUAACAGGGACAGUCAGGGGCACUCGUAUUCCGCCGAGAGAGGUGAAAUUCUCAGACCAGCGGAAGAUGAACCACUGCGAAAGCAUUUGCCAGGGAUGUUUUCACUGAUCAAGAACGAAAGUUAGGGGAUCGAAGACGAUCAGAUACCGUCGUAGUCUUAACCAUAAACCAUGCCGACUAGGGAUUGGAGGAUGUUCCAUUUGUGACUCCUUCAGCACCUUUCGGGAAACUAAAGUCUUUGGGUUCCGGGGGGAGUAUGGUCGCAAGGCUGAAACUUAAAGGAAUUGACGGAAGGGCACCACCAGGAGUGGAGCCUGCGGCUUAAUUUGACCCAACACGGGGAACCUUACCAGGUCCAGACAUUGUGAGGAUUGACAGAUUGAGAGCUCUUUCUUGAUUCGAUGGGUGGUGGUGCAUGGCCGUUCUUAGUUGGUGGAGUGAUUUGUCUGGUUAAUUCCGUUAACGAACGAGACCGCAGCCUGCUAAAUAGCGUGCCGAACCCUUUGUUGGGCGUCGCUUCUUAGAGGGACAACUUGUCUUCAACAAGUGGAAGUUCGCGGCAAUAACAGGUCUGUGAUACCCUUAGAUGUUCUGGGCCGCACGCGCGCUACACUGAUGCAUUCAGCGAGUCUAUCACCUUGACCGAGAGGUCCGGGUAAUCUUUUGAACUUGCAUCGUGAUGGGGAUAGAUUAUUGCAACUAUUAAUCUUCAACGAGGAAUUCCUAGUAAGCGUGUGUCAUCAGCGCACGUUGAUUACGUCCCUGCCCUUUGUACACACCGCCCGUCGCUCCUACCGAUUGAAUGAUCCGGUGAGGCCCCCGGACUGCGGCUCCGUCGCUGGUUCUCCAGCUUUGGGGUUGCGGGAAGCUGUCCGAACCUUAUCAUUUAGAGGAAGGAGAAGUCGUAACAAGGU
rnacentral:rRNA from 1 species